UGCCAGGUUCUCGUCGUAAAGCGCUUUGCAGCAGUCGGCCAAGCGGGGCUUUACGGCAGCCGGUGUCUCGCGGGGCGUGGGAGUGGGACGGCGCCGGGCACUGAACCCGGGUUCUGCGGCUGGGCGUGUUAUCCUAAAGCCAUUAGGCGGCACUGAGUUGGUGUGGUAAAGAGAUCUGUGCUGGCCCAGAGUGUUGGAGCUCAAGCAUCUUUCAGCCCAGGCCCUGUGAGAGUGCUGCCCAGCGUGGUAUGUCAGAACACCAAAAGACUUUUUCUUCGGUUAGAGUUCCAAGAAGGUUGCCAGUGAGUCAAAGGCUAUGAAUAUUUUUAAUGCUCCUGAACCUCUGGCUACAU